rnacentral:rRNA from 1 species
UUAGAGUUUGAUUCUGGCUCAGGAUGAACGCUAGCGAUAGGCCUUACACAUGCAAGUCGAGGGGCAGCACAAAGAUAGUAGCAAUACUGUUUUGGUGGCGACCGGCGCACGGGUGAGUAACGCGUAUGCAACCUUCCUACUACUUUGGGAUAGCUCGUCGAAAGGCGAAUUAAUACCUUAUAAUACAGCUACUCUGCAUGGAGUUAUCUGUUAAAGAUUCAUCGGUAGUAGAUGGGCAUGCGUUCCAUUAGUUAGUUGGUGAGGUAACUGCUCACCAAGGCAUCGAUGGAUAGGGGAACUGAGAGGUUUUACCCCCACACUGGAACUGAGACACGGUCCAGACUCCUACGGGAGGCAGCAGUGAGGAAUCUUGGUCAAUGGAGGAGACUCUGAACCAGCCAUAUCGCGUGAAGGAUGACUGCCCUACGGGUUGUAAACUUCUUUUUUAAGGGAAUAAAGUGAGCCACGUGUGGCUUUUUGCAUGUACCUUACGAAUAAAGAUCGGCUAACUACGUGCCAGCAGCCGCGGUAAUACGUAGGUGGCGAGCGUUGUCCGGAUUUACUGGGUGUAAAGGGCGUGUAGGCGGGCAUGUAAGUCAGAUGUGAAAUACCGGGGCUCAACUCCGGGGCUGCAUCUGAAACUGCAUAUCUUGAGUGUUGGAGGGGAAAGUGGAAUUCCUAGUGUAGCGGUGAAAUGCGUAGAUAUUAGGAGGAACACCAGUGGCGAAGGCGGCUUUCUGGCCAAACACUGACGCUGAGGCGCGAAAGCGUGGGGAGCAAACAGGAUUAGAUACCCUGGUAGUCCACGCCGUAAACGAGGGAUACUAGGUAUAGGGAGAUAUUCUUUCUUUGCCGCAGCUAACGUAUUAAUUAUCCCCCCCGGGGAGUACGGCCGCAGGGCUGAAACUCAAAGGAAUUGACGGGGACCCGCACACGCAGUGGAGUAUGUGGUUUAAUUUGAAGCAACGCGAAGAACCUUACCAAGGCGUGACAUAAUACUGAAUAUUCUAGAGAUAGGAUAGGCCUUCGGGACAGUAUUACAGGUGGUGCAUGGUUGUCGUCAGCUCGUGUCGUGAGAUGUUGGGUUAAGUCCCGUAACGAGCGCAACCCCCGUUAUUAGUUGCCAUCAGGUUAUGCUGGGCACUCUAAUGAGACAAUCGGUGAUAAACCGGGGGAAGGUGGGGGGGACGUCAAAUCAUCAUGCCCCCUAUGUCUUGGGGUACACACGUACUACAAUGGCUAUUACAACAGGUAGCGAAGGAGUAAUCCGGAGCCAAUCCCCAAAGAUAGUCCCAGUUCGGAUUGUGGGGUGCAACUCGCCCAUAUAAAGUCGGAAUUGCUAGUAAUUGCAGGUCAGCAUACUGCAGUGAAUAAGUUCCCGGGUCUUGUACUCACCGCCCGUC